rnacentral:misc_RNA from 1 species
GUGUGUUAAAAAUCCAUGACAUUGCGCCACCUAUUUGCAAGCAAGUCAUCCGAUCGACUGUGUGGCGCUGUUCUGAAAUUCUGUUUGAGGUUUUGUGUGUACGAAAACAGACAUCAAAUAUCGGUCAAUUCUCCAAUUCAAAGAUUGAUGAGCCAGCCUAGAAUGGGUGAUAACCAGUCAACGUUGCAGUCUGGAACAGGCGAGGGGCGCAAGGUCCUCUCCCCCAAGAAAAUUCCCAUCACAAAUGACUAUGUACUAACCAAGAAAGUUCUAGGCCUAGGAAUCAACGGAAAAGUACUGGAAUGCCACAAUAAACUCACAGGGGAGAAGUAUGCAUUGAAGGUAUUACGUGGAAGUGCGAAAGCCGAACGAGAAGUUGAAUUACACUGGAGGGCGUCGGCUUGUAAACAGAUAGUCAAUAUUAAGGAUGUGUACGAGAACAUUUACAAUGGUACACGAUGUCUUCUCGUAGUUAUGGAAUGUAUGGAAGGUGGAGAAUUAUUCAGUAGGAUACAAGAAAGGGCAGACACAGCAUUUACAGAAAGAGAAGCGGCACAAAUUAUAUCCGACAUUGCAAAGGCUGUUCACUACCUUCACAACAUGAACAUCGCACACAGAGACCUGAAGCCAGAGAAUCUCCUGUUCAAAGACAAAGGUGCUAAUUCGGUUUUAAAGUUAACAGAUUUUGGUUUUGCAAAGGAGACGACAUCGGCAACAAGCUUGCAGACUCCAUGCUAUACCCCCUAUUAUGUUGCUCCUGAAGUUCUUGGCCCGGAACGGUAUGAUAAGUCAUGUGACAUGUGGUCUCUCGGAGUUAUCAUGUACAUCCUAUUAUGUGGUUUCCCACCAUUCUACAGUAACCAUGGAAUGGCAAUCUCACCCGGAAUGAAGAAAAGGAUCCGAAAUGGCCAGUACGAGUUCCCAAAUCCUGAGUGGAGCCAGGUCUCAGAAGAGGCAAAGAAUAUCAUUAGAAAGUUACUUAAAACCGACCCAACGCAGAGACUAACCAUCACAGAGUUUAUCAACCACCCAUGGGUCCAGAGGUUUGAUGAGGUUCCACAGACACCACUGCACUCUGCCAAAGUGUUGAAAGAGGAUAGCGAACAAUGGGCAGAUAUUCAAGACGAGAUGACUAAUGCAUUAGCCACGAUGCGAGUCGACUACGACCAAAUCAAAAUUAAAAACGUAUCUGAAUCAUCCAAUCCACUCUUAAUGAAACGAAGGAAAAAGGAAGCAAAGCAAAAUAAGAAGUAGUGAAAAAAAAAGUAAUUGGAUGUUUUAAAAUAUAGAAAGUAUAUCAGUUACUAAUUUUCUCUACCUCUGCACUUUGCUGUUAAGUGGUUGCUAUGUUAUGCUUUUUUGCAGGAUUGUGUUCCGAGCAUGCUCAGAACAAUGUCGCUAAGUAGAGUUAUUCCGUAAAGUUGUAUAAAUAAAAACUAGAGUGUGUCCUGCUUGUACAGCAUAUGUAAUCCCACUGUACCGAAAUGGCAGCGAUUUGCAACACUUUGUUGCUACGUGGUGGCCAUGUUUCCUUUAUUGCAAGACAAUGUUCUAAGCAUGCUCAGACCAGUGUUGCUAUGUAGAGUUAUUCCAUAAAGUUGUAUAGAUAACAACUAGAGUGUGCACUGCUAGUACAUCGUACGUAAUCCCGCUGUGCCGACAGGGGCUGCGAUUUGUCAUUACCCUACCUAGCCAUGAAAAAAAAAAACCAGACGUUUUUUGAUCAUAUGAUGCAAUAAGAGAUCUUCAGAAGUUAUGCAACUUAAACUCUUGGCAUACCUUUUGUAUACUUGUUAGAAUUCUGUAAGGGUGUAUGCAUUGUACUAAUGGCAAAUCGUUUUUCAUGUGUUGUUACAGCCCAGUGGAUGGACGUGCACUCUGUUUCUUCUUCACAACUGUAUGGUGUAUUCAAAUUGUUAUCUUUCAUAUUUUCAAAAGUUCCUAAAACUGAUCUACAAAAAUCUUCAUGAUAAUAUUCCUACCCUUAAAAAAAAAAUCGGUAAAAAAAAAAGCAUGAUUUGUUAUUAACUACCACUUUUUAGCAAUAAAUUUUAUUUUUAAAUAUUAAAGAUUCUAAUCCCGCAGAAAAUGUUAUAUUUCUUGUCAACUGAUUGACAAGGAAUUGUGAACUAAAAGUUUUUUGAAGGCAAGGUCAUGGUGGGGUCAGUCGUUCUAUCCCAUCUCCAACCUUCUGUUAGUUGCUUGCUAGCAUUAAAAGCAGUAUAGUUCAUGAAUAAUGAAAACACUAGACUCGUGGAUCCAGUUGUAAUUGCACCUAAUAUCCAAGCACAAUCUCAUCUGGAUUUUCAUUAUACAACAGCUGCUGCAUUAAGUCUAGUGUGCAGUAAUCAAUGUUAGCUUUAUUCCAAAUAGGAAAUCCUAAGAAUAAUGUAUAUGAAAUAUUUUUAUCGAUAUUUUAACUAUAUGUUGCAAAAAAUUUUUUUAUUGAUUAUUCUUUUUAAAUAAACUGUAAUCGUGAACUUUUAUUAAAUAGUUUUAUUGCCUUUUAUCAAACGUUUAUGGAGCACGAUCCUGUCCUUAAUGAAGUCCGGAACAAUUUAUCUUGUCAACAAUUUUAUGUAAACAGACUUUAUAAAGGAUGGGAAGAUAAGGAAAAUGGAAAAACGUGUAAAUCAUUUUCUGCAGUACAGGAUGAGUUUUUGUUGAGCUGAUAGAGAAUGCGUGCACAGGUACCAUCCGUGUAACAUGAUGGCGGUCGACAUGUCUUAGAACCACCCUGCGGUAGUGAUGCUUUGAUUUUGGUUGGUUUGGUUACAAAGAGUAAUCAAGCUUUCUGUAAUCCUUGUAAACAGCAGAUCUAAGAAAUGUAGAUUGUUGUUCAAAGCAAUUUUAUUUCCGCACUAUACCCGAUUGGUACUUAGUCUCCAACAUGACCUUAACUCAAAAUAGAUGAUAUUCAACAUACACAUACAAACACACUUUUCACAAACAUUGGCAUUGUGCCAGUUUAUUAUGCAUAUUCAUUAAUUAUGUAAAUGAUCAUAUUGAUCAGAGGAAAUUAUGACAGGUAAUUAACAUAAUGCUUUUGUGUCUAAAAUAAACUUAUAAUUAUUUUCAAAAAGCAAAUUCUUUGUCGUAAUAUAAAUUAGAAACGUAUGAAAAAGAUUUUCUGAUGUUGAUCAUGAUUUAAAAAAUUGUGUGUUUUCAUUAGCAUAAUAUAGUUUGUGUAUUGUAUUAUUACGUAGGUGCACAUGAUCUUAAAAUUGUUAAUUUGAUAUUUAUUUAAAUUAAUUUGAUAACUAUUGUAAUUAAUAAUUGACAUAUUUAUCGUGUUUAAUUUUUAACAUCUGUCAAAGUUGAUUGUUUACCACUGUAAUUAUUUGGUAUCGCAUGUUUGUAUGUGUUAUUUGAUUUAUCAUGAAAAUAAUCCUCAUAUGGUUUUGAUAUGUAAAAGUUUUCAAUUAGAAUAAUUUGUUCACAAGUAUGUUUCAGAUAAUUGUCAUUAUUAAAACAAGUGUUUGUUUGCUAGGUUGUAUAAGUAUUACCAAUUUUUUAUUUACAAAAUUUUACCUCUUAUUGCAAAGUAAGUUUUCUUGCAGCAGAAACCACUGUAUUUUGUGAUAUUGCCACCAUUAUUCAGUACAAAGCACAACAAAUGGAGAAAAGAAAUAAGUAUGGGCUGCAAGAGGAUUCGAACCAGAAACAUCCGGAGUAUUAGCAGUGAAAGCAUUAAAAUUAAAAUUAUAUUGAGAUUCAAAAUAAAUAUGAAACCAGUUAAGUACCCAACACAAUUAAAAAUUAUGUUUCAACAAAACCAACAGCAUACAUCUCUAAACAUGAUAACUAAUACAGUAUACUGAACUAUAAUAAAUAAUUUUUUUGGCUAUUACAUAAAUAUUGCGAUUUGAGCAGAUGUCAAUAUCCGGUAUGCGCACAUUAUUUUAAUGUGUGCAAAUUAUUAUUAUUAUUAUAAAAUGCGCACAUUAUUAUAACGAUAUGUGCACAUUAUUAUAACGAUAUACGUACAUUAUUAUAAUGAUAUGCACUUAUAUCCACAUAUUAUAAUGAUAUGCACUUAUAUUCACAUAUCUGUAUGUGGACAUUGUAUCAUGAGGUUCGUGACUUAUUUUGUUGUGGAGGGUCACAUAUUUUUUCAGUAUAAUAAUUUUAUGUCAAGAUGUUCUAAAGAUCUUGGUCUGUAUAAUUUGUAAAAAAUCCUAAUAGUAAAUAAGGUUGAAAUUUUAUUAAUUUAUUUUACUUUUGUUAUUCUUUAUUUCAACUUUUGUUCACUUUUUUAGUACCGGAAUAAGCAUUUUUUCUGUGACAAUGUAUAUGUUUGGUAUUCUUUGCAAGAUAAUUUUCUUUUUUUAUAAAUUUAUUGUGAUGUUUAAUUCCUAAAUCUAUAUUUUUUCUGAUCUUGUGUAAAUUGAAUCCAGGAAGAGGUCUACAUUGCUUGCCUAUUUAAACAUUUAUAUGAUAAACUGAUAUGAGCCAACUGCAAAUUAAUCUUACUAGCCCAGUAAAUAUCACAAGGUUAAAUUUAAAUAAUCAAGAAUCUGAAAUAGACAUAUCGGUUUCCCUUGCAAAACUACUUGCAGCAAAUUUGCAUGCCCAAUUUUUUGUCUGUCAGAUAAAAGUGUGGGAGUGUCUUAAUAACGUACAAUCUUAAUACCAAAUAGUGAUUUGGUUAGUGAUAAUUUACUAAAAAAACACUUCAGCACAAAAACCUAAUAAGGUGAACUGCUGAAAUCAUUUUUGAGUAAUACAAGCCUGUUUUGUAUUCUGUUACCUGCAAUGGUUGAUACAAUGCAUGUUGGCAAGACUUGAUAGCUUAAGAUAUACACUUAUGUUUACUGUACAUUGAUGCUUUUAUACAAGGAUGUAAACCGAGAUGUAUUUUGAUUCGAUGUAUCCGUCUUUACCCAUCAUGCAUCAUGUUAAUGGAUAAUGCUGGACAUCAUAUUUUUGUCGGUCAAACUUGAAAGUAGUCUUGGUUUUAAGACAAAGAAAGCCACAGAAUUUGUUUGAUCAGAUAUCUGAAACUAUUAUCUUCAGAGUCUGAUCAAACAUUUUGAGUCUGACAGACAAAUAUAUAUAGUGUACUUGGCUUAAGAAGUCACUUUGAUACAUCCCUCAAAAAAUGUACAUACAGCAUUUAUAAAUUUCUAAAAAUAAGACCAAGAUCAGUCUUCCCUUCAUGCAUUGUUACGUUGAAUUCCCAAACAUUAAUUUUUUUUUCUAAAAUGCAUGUUGUAAAAUGUAGUGUUAACAUUCUUCUUUCAACACUUUUGUAGUUAACAAAAUACUUUUGAAAAACAUGAAAAUCAAUCCAUGAUUUUAAAAUUGAUUUUUAUGUAGAUUUUAACACUCAGCAAAAUGUGUAGGGCCUCAGAUGUAGAAUAAAAAAUAAUGUACAGUCCAUAAA